AACGCAACUUGCACUCAAUGGUAUUCCAUUGAGUACGCCUGUUUCAGUAUCAAAAACAUACCUUAUUCAAAUAUUUUGUUUGAAUAGACUUGAACGCCUUGACGGUGAGUAGCCGUUUCGUUCUAAAUCCAUUAGGCUUUUAGCUUGACAGCGGAAGUUUUUUUUUAAUUAAAAAAGGACAUGAAGCAACUAAGCUGGGCCUCCCAAAUAAAUUUUUAAAUUUGAUCUGAAAUCAGGUGGGAUUACCCGCUGAACUUAA
rnacentral:misc_RNA from 1 species